rnacentral:misc_RNA from 1 species
GUGAGUCAUCGAAUCUUUGAACGCACAUUGCGCCCCUCGGUAUUCCGUGGGGCAUGCCUGUUCGAGCGUCAUCUACACCCUCAAGCUCUGCUUGGUGUUGGGCGUCUGUCCCGCCUCUGCGCGCGGACUCGCCCCAAAUUCAUUGGCAGCGGUCUUUGCCUCCUCUCGCGCAGCACAUUGCGUUUCUCGAGGGGCGUGGCCCGCAUCCAGCAAGCAAUUUUUACCGUCUUUGACCUCGGAUCAGGUAGGGAUACCCGCUGAACUUAAGCAUAUCAAUAAGCGGAGGA